rnacentral:rRNA from 1 species
CGCGUAGGCGGUUCGUACAGUCAGACGUGAAAUUCCCGGGCUCAACCUGGGGGCUGCGUUUGAUACGUGCGGGCUGGAGUUCGGAAGAGGGUCGUGGAAUUCCCAGUGUAGAGGUGAAAUUCGUAGAUAUUGGGAAGAACACCGGUGGCGAAGGCGGCGACCUGGUCCGAUACUGACGCUGAGGCGCGAAAGCGUGGGGAGCAAACAGGAUUAGAUACCCUGGUAGUCCACGCCGUAAACGAUGUGUGCUGGAUGUUGGGCGGUCUGACCGUUCAGUGUCGUAGCCAACGCGAUAAGCACACCGCCUGGGGAGUACGGCCGCAAGGUUGAA